GACGAACGCUGGCGGCGUGCUUAACACAUGCAAGUCGAACGAUGUGGCGAACGGGUGAGUAAUACGGGGGUAACCUUCCCUCAUUUUUGGAAUAAACCUUGGAAACGCGUUCUAAUACCUGAUACAGGGGGAGGGGCUCGCGGUCUAUGAGCUGGUUGGGGGGGUGAUGGCCUACCAGGGCGGUGACGGGUAGCCGGGCUGAGAGGGUGACCGGCCACAUUGCGAGGGAGAUACUGCUCAGAGUCCUACGGGAGGGAGCAGUUAGGGAUAGUGCACAAUGGGGGAAAGCCUGAGGCAGGGACGCCGAGUGGGGGAUGAAGGCUUUCGGGUUGUAAACCUGUGUCGCUAUCGAACGGGUAGGUGGAGAAGAAGCGCCGGCUAACUACGUGCCAGCAGCCGCGGUAAUAC
rnacentral:rRNA from 1 species